rnacentral:ncRNA from 1 species
AUUACCGGACUCGCAAAACCCAACCGUUUGUUCGGAAGGUGAGCCUGUCUGGGUCGGGGCACUCUGUAAACUGCCCAUCCUCAUCCCGCGAAAUCGCUUCGUGUGGAGUGCUUACGACGUAGGCUGAGGGAAGUAGAAAAGCCACGGGUCACCCGACCCGUGGUCGUUUACUCUGAAAUAAGUGCCCACA